rnacentral:rRNA from 1 species
GAAUUUUGGACAAUGGGCGAAAGCCUGAUCCAGCAAUGCCGCGUGCAGGCUGAAGGCCUUCGGGUUGUAAACUGCUUUUGUACGGACCGAAAAGCUUUUGGUUACUACCCUGGAGUCAUGACGGUACCGUAAGACUAAGACCCGGCUCACUACGUGCCAGCCGCCGCGGUAACACGUAGGGUGCAAGCGUUAAUCGGAAGUACGGGGCAUAAAGCGUGCGCAGGCGGUUUUGUAAGACAGAGGUGAAAUCCCCGGGCUCAACCGGGGGACUGCCUUUGUGACUGCAAGGCUAGAGGACGGCAGAGGGGGGUGGAAUUCCGCGUGUAGCAGUGAAAUGCGUAGAUAUGCGGAGGAACACCGAUGGCGAAGGCAACCCCCUGGGCCUGUACUGACGCUCAUGCACGAAAGCGUGGGGAGCAAACAGG